CGCCUUAGUGUGUGGCCAGCUCUUGGAGGCAAGGCAGCGCUCCCGCCCAGCGUGUGAGGCGGUUUCUGUUGGCAGUCUUCGUCCAGCCUGAGAUGAGGAGGGAGGAGGCACGAGGCUGUCUUUCCGUCCCCCCACACCUACCCUGGCAAGGACAGCUCACUGACACUUAAGGGGCGGUUGUGUGGCCUCGACGUGCACACAGGACAGGUGACGGGCGGGGAUGAAGCUACUACCUCCACCACCAUCACCACCAUCGGCGUGAGCGGAUGCAGCAGUAAUCCAGCACUUCACCUGCACCAGUUUUCCAAGGCGUUGGCUCGGACCUUUAGUGGCGGUGUUCCCUUGCGACUACUGCUGGACUUCAGCUCCCGAGCCUUGCUUGAUCCGCACCUGCACAAAGACCAUCUCUCACCUGAUUCACCAAGCCUUGUCUGCACGAGCCAAAUGCUCAGUCUGUUUUCUCUAUCAAGAGAGCAAUAAUUAAGGCCUUUCGUCCCACGCAAUGGCCCAUUUCCGAAGGCUCCACACAGCUGUUUUGCACACUUCUCUCAACUCCCUCGAGUAAAACAACAUCACAACACUAACGUUUUCCAAGAACAAAGCCGACCCAAGCAACCAAACACUGCCACAAACCGAAACAGCAGCAUGACCCUCCACAGCUGGCAGCCACAUUAACCAGCGGCCAUAAACCAUCACAACACGGCCGGGAUGUCACGAAGCCGAAACAGUAGCGGCGCCGACCUCUCCAGGCGGUCGCUGCUGCCAUUAUCCCCGCCACCCCCGAGACAUUUGUAAAUGACACUUGUAAUUACCCACAUUAACUACAGUGUGUGUCAAGAAUAAGUACUGGAGAACAGGAUUAUAUAAACAUGUUAACUCGGUGACGAAGGAGACCGAUGGUGAGGAGGGGGGCAGAGGGAAGGGGUCUUGUUUGGUUAGCUGAAAGACUAGUCAGGCGGGAAGACUCGAGCUUGUAAGACGAGGGAAAGGAAUGGCCCGUAGUAAAGACUCCCCGUAGUACAUUGUAUUUUAUGAAGGGGCACGAAGUGAGAGGUAUUCAGACGCAAAGAAAAACGGUAAGGAAGGAAGGGGAGGGCGUAACUAGAAAAUGGAUUGAGGGAGAUGGAGAGAUUGAGGAGAAUGAGAAGAGAAGAGAGAGAGAUCAACCAACCAUCUUCUCUCUCCUUCACGACACACAACAGGCAAGAGAGGGAUCACUCCUUCAUUUGCAACAGAGGCGGCGAUGGUGGUGACGGUAGUGGUGAUAGUGGUGGUGGUGGUGACGGUUCCCUAUACGUCUCCAGGCCCUCCCAGCCCUUCCCGCCCCUGCAACAUUAUCAACAUCUCAUCAGGAGCGUCAUCAAAGGGCUUGUCGUCUCCGUUUCAUUAAUAACACCGACUUGCGGUUCCACCAGAGUCCGUCUUCGGUUACGCCUCGUUGGCCAAUCAGGAGGAAGGACGAACACACGACGUCACCAUUGGUCCGUGGAGAGUAAAUAACAUCUUAAGCAAAAGUCUGGCUGCCAUUCAUCAGUUUAGUGACAUAAGUUAUUGGGGAGACGCAUGCACGCUGACGAGGAAGAGGGAGAGAUGAGCGAGGGGAAGGAAGGGAGUGGAGGGGUGGAAGUGGCAGUGGGCGUGGCGGAAGGGGACGGAAGGGGCUUGGGUAUGGUGAUGCAGUGUGAGGAUUUAGGAAGGAGAGUGGAAGAGAGGGGUGUGUGGCAGGGCGUGGGGAGGAUAUAUAUACCGUACACAGGAGGGAUAGACGCAGGAAACAAGUGUAGGUGAGGAUAAGGAAAAUAGGUGUUAUUAGGUGGCAGGCGAGGUGAAGUGGGGGCUGGAGGAUAAAGAAUAAAGGCAAGAAGAAAGGUGGAUUAAUUGAAUAGCAGAGAAAGAAUGAAAGAAGAAGGAAUAAUGAAUAAGGAGCGAAAAGAUGGGGAGAAAACAAAGACGACAAAACGAACAGGAGAAAGUGUGAAAAGCAGGGAAGAAGACAACAGAAAAGGGAUAAAAGGGACGAAAGGAAGGGCUGAAAAACAAAGCAGAAGAUAGCCGGAAACAAAUAAAAGAAAGGAAAAGGAAAAAGUGAAAUAAUUUAGGGAAAUAGGGUGGAAGGGUAAUAGAAGCAAGUAGAAGUGAAGUAAAAGCAGGGAAGGGGAGUGAAAGAAGCAGGAGGCAAGAAAGAAGAGUGAAGACGAGAGAGAGAGAGAGAGAGAGAGAGAGAGAGAGAGAGAGAGAGAGAGAGAGAGAGAGAGAGAGAGAGAGAGAGAGAGAGAGAGAAAAAGGGAUGAGAAUCACGAGGCAAGGCUGAGGCAGGAAACAUCGGGGCCUUGAGUGAGGCGGGGCUCCUUGGCGGGUCAGCUGAGAGAAGCUACACUCUGGUAAUCGUUAGCAGAUGGUGGCCACAAGGUGUGUCUCCUUUUUUACACAUUUUAAGAGACUGUGUGUGUGUGUGUGUGUGUGUGUGUGUGAUGGCAUUAGUGAAAGUUACAAUCUAUUCCUAUAAUCACUGGUCCGUAAACCCCACACACACACACACACACACACACACACACACACACACACACACACACACACACACGAGGACUAUGAUUACUGAGUCCUCAGUGCCUGACCGAAAUGGAGUCGUAGCAGUACAGAGGGGUAGUUCAACAGUCGCCGUGAGACUGAUGUGGGAACUGCCCUUAUUUAUGUGACAGGGAGGUGAGCAGCGCGGCGCCGCCACCACCACCACCUUAUAGCCAUCACUUCCAAUCUCCACCUUCCUCCUUUUUCCUUAUUCUGCUUUUCCCUUGCAUUCACCAUCAUCUUCCUUGUCUUCCUAUUCCUUGUGUUGUUGCUUCUUGAAGCGAAAGCAACGAGUUACCACUGGAGGAGGCAUAACACCACACACACACACACACACACACACACACACACACACACACACACACACACACACACACACACACACACACACACACACACACACACACACAGAGGUUUAAGUCAAGGAUGAAAGAGGGACAAAAUGAGUAUCAUAAACAAGACAACCAUUAAAAGACUUCCAUUAACAACAACCAGAAGUAAACACAAGCGGGGAUUGUCUGUGUGUGUGUGUGUGUGUGUGUGUGUGUGUGUGUGUGUGUGUGUGUCCUACCCUUAACACAUGCUCCCUGGGACCCCACAAGUAGUCUAGAUGUGCGGAGGUCGUCAGUUUACAGGAGGGAGGGAAGGAAGGAAGGAGGAGGAGAAGAAAGGAGUGGCAGUAGGAGAGAAGGAAGGACGGAAGGGAAGAAAGAAGGGUGAAUGAAGGAGGAGAGAAGGAAAGCAGGAAGGAGAACAAAGAAGUGUGUAGCAAGACAAGAUGAGAUGAAAGAGAGAGAUGAAACAACAACACUAUUUGUAUCUCUACUCACAUAAGCGAAGAUCAAGAGAAAGAAAAGAAUACAAGUAAUGGAUAAGGAGCUUGAAAAGUGAACUAACUGGAUCUUACGAAGAGGAGGAGGAGGAGGGGGGAGGAGGAGGAGGAGGAUGAAGAUGGUGGUGAUAGUCGCGGCAGCAGGACCCAGAGUGUAUCACUUUCAGUUAAUUGCAUUUCAAGUUGGGAGUGUGUGAGGCGGUGUUGUGGCCCGGCCCGCGGCUUGCCUGUGACUGACGCUCCCCGGACCAAUUAUCUCAUUUUUUCUGACUUUUUAAUUUUACA